rnacentral:tRNA from 1 species
GGCUGGGUAGCUCAGUUGGUAAGAGCACAGGAUUCAUAACCCUGAGGUCGGGAGUUCAACUCUCCCCCCAGUCACAA